rnacentral:rRNA from 1 species
CGACCGCGUGGAGGAAGACGGUCUUCGGAUUGUAAACUCCUUUCAGUUGGGACGAAGCUUUCGCGUUGAAUAGACGUUGUGAGUGACGGUACCUUCAGAAGAAGCCCCGGCUAACUACGUGCCAGCAGCCGCGGUAAUACGUAGGGGGCGAGCGUUGUCCGGAAUCAUUGGGCGUAAAGCGCGUGUAGGCGGCUCGGUAAGUCUGCUGUGAAAGUCCAGGGCUCAACCCUGGAAUGCCGGUGGAUACUGUCGAGCUCGAGUCCGGAAGAGGCGAGUGGAAUUCCUGGUGUAGCGGUGAAAUGCGCAGAUAUCAGGAGGAACACCAAUGGCGAAGGCAGCUCGCUGGGACGUGACUGACGCUGAGACGCGAAAGCGUGGGGAGCAAACAGGAUUAGAUACCCUGGUAGUCCACGCCGUAAACGAUGGGCACUAGGUGUGGGGGGUGUCGACUCCCUCCGUGCCGACGCUAACGCGUUAAGUGCCCCGCCUGGGGAGUACGGCCGCAAGGCUA